rnacentral:rRNA from 1 species
AAUCAACGCUGGCGGCGCGCCUAACACAUGCAAGUCGAGCGAGAAAGCAGGAGCAAUCUUGUGAGUAAAGCGGCGUACGGGUGAGUAACACGUGGAUUAUCUACCUCUUUGUGGGGAAUAACCCUGGGAAACCGGGGCGUAAUACCGCAUAAGUCCGAGAGGAGAAAGCAGCAAUGCGCAGAGAGAGGAGUCCGCGGCCGAUUAGUUAGUUGGCAGGUAAAGGACCUACCAAGACAAAGAAUCGGUAGCCGGCCUGA